AGCGUCUAGCCAUGGGUGAUCCAGAGCGACUAUCUCUUCCUCCCUGAAAAGGAAGAGAGAGGAGUUAGGACGAGAGUGCCGCAGGGUCCUCCCACACCAGCAUCCCCUCUUCUGUGGUCCCGGGUGGAUGCUGAGCCAUUGGGUGUCUCUCUCAUCUGCUAAUAGAAAUGGCACCCCGGAGAGCUGGUCUUUUCAUUCCAUUUCUCCCGACCUCCCUCAGCAAAUGCUAAUUGAAUUUCCAGUUCUGUGAGAGAGAACUGGAAUCGGAUUCCCAGGCCCCAGGGAGUGGUGCCUGGCAUAACCACUGCUCUGCAAAACAACGCUGCACUUCUGUGGGUGAAAGUGCAGCCGCUCCAUUGCUUUGCUUUGAAUGAGCACUUUUUCUCGUCAGCUAGAGGUGCCAGGGCAGCCGAGGGGAACUGCCAGCGACAACAGGAGCAACUUCUUUUUCGGCGGGACCCUAGCACACCCCUUGCUACACGCGCCAGCAAAGAGCAAAGCCACGUGUCCAUCCCUGGGGACGUCCCUCCUAUGUGCCAUCUCAUCUGCCACACCAGACAAAUCAAAUGCACAGAGAGCUUUGUCUGCAAACUUUGACUUGAAGGGGUCUUAAAACCAUGCAUUUACACGUUUGGGGGACAAAUAAUUUCGAUGUUUAAAAGAGAGUUGGCAGCUAAUUGAGAUGGUGCACAGGUGUGCUGUGGCCCACGGUGUGGAGGUAGCCAGGCGUGGCCAUCCCUCUAGAAAGAGGAAUGCGUUGGUCACUCAGAAUGUCACUUAGAUCGACGAAGCAGAACUGCACUUUUUUUGCAUUCAAAUUUUUAUUCAAAGUUUAGUCUCUCUCCUUGGGUUUCCCCUCUUUUAUGAAAUGAUCAAUUUUGGCGAAGAGCCCCCAGAAAGCAAGAUAGAAAAGAAAUAUGCUCUUUACCGUGGCCGAUCAGCAACGAACCAACACUGUCCUCAUCUAAUUCUACGUCUUCCACACUGCCCAGUAACACAAAUAACCAGAGCGCAGACGCCAAGAAUCCUUCCAAGUAACGCAGCUAACAGACCAAGGUGACAGUUCUGACUUCUUGGGGGGUUUUCCAAGUACAUACGUAGCAUUAUAAACAAGCCUCUAUGUUGUGCUUACACAACUCACUCAAGGGAUUUUUGUUUUCACAAGUGAAAACGUUUAUGAAAUGCUAGCCUGCGAAGCCGCUUCAGGAACCAUCUAGUGAGAUUUCCCUCCCAAGACAGGCAGCUUUCUCACAUACCGUGGAGGCCUCCUGCCGGCCUGGGGACUGACAGGUGCAGGGCCCUGCCCCUCGAGGGCCAGCCUCUCCCUCGGGAGCGUGGGUUUUUCCUGUUUGAUCCUGGCUUAACUUGAACAUCUCUGGCAUUGGAGCUGCCCUCUGGAGUAGCCCAGAAGUUGGCACUCACCUCACCUUUUGCUGCAUUUCCAAGAGAUCAGCCUUUGGACUUCCUGGAAAGUGGUAGAACCACUGUCCUAUGAAACAAAGUGCUUCUGUGCUGAAAUGGAGUAAGUUCCCUGCAGCCUCUGGCAAGGUAACCUACCGAGCUCAGGAGCCAAAGCUCAGCCAGCCCGAAGGAGCCAGGAUUAGAGCCUGCAUGGAUGCAACAGUCACGCUUCUCUCUAUUACGUGUCUUGCAACUUGGAGUCACAUGAUCUCAGCAUCUGAUCCACCCUGGGCUCAGAACCUCCCAGAACCUCCCAGAAUCGAGGCUCACGGCAGAGGUUCUGCACUCACCAAGGACGCGGGGGGACCAUGUCUGUGCUCAUGUGGAUCCCCGCUGCUGGGCAGAGCACACCACACAUCCAGACUCAACAAAAUACAUGGAGUCAAAGGUCAGGUGACUGAAUCAAUGAGUAUGUUACACACCAAGAAAGACCCCUCCUCUCUGCACCCCGGGGAGCAGCCCCAGAAGCCUGGUCUCCUCCAGGAUGAAAAUGCAAACGCAGGUGCCUGGGGGCUCCCAGAGCCUUUGGCUUCACGGUUCCCUCCCGGCCCUGCCUGGAGCUUCAUGUGCCUCCCCUUUUGCUUAAUGAGAGCCGCUGUCUAAGAGUUAAGGGUUUUCUGGGUGACGUUUAACAAUAAUAAAGGUGACUGCUUAUCUAAGGAA